GAUGAACGCUGGCGGCGUGCCUAAUACAUGCAAGUCGAGCGAACAGACGAGGAUCUUUCUCCUCUGUCGUUAGCGGCGCACGGGUGAGUAACACGUGGGUAACCUCCCUAUAUGAGUGUGAUAACUCUUGGAAACCGCAGCUCAUACCGCGUAAAAUAUUGAACCGCAUGUUACACAAUUGAGAGAGGCGUUUGCUCUCACACAUAUAUGUGGCCGCGCCGCAUUAGAUAGUUGGUAAGGUAACGGCUUACCAAGGCAACGAUGCGUAGCCGACCUGAGAGGGUGAUCGGCCACACUGGAACUGAGACACGGACCAGACUCCUACGGGAGGCAGCAGUAGGGAAUCUUCCGCAAUGGGCGAAAGCCUGACGGAGCAACGCCGCGUGAGUGAUGAAGGUCUUCGGAUCGUAAAACUCUGUUGUAAGGGAAGAACAAGUAUGUAAGUAACUGUGCACACCUUGACGGUACCUUACCAGAAAGCCACGGCUAACUACGUG
rnacentral:rRNA from 1 species